CAGAGACCUCACCAUGAAGAGGUGAAGGAGUAGGAUUUCCUUUGAAGGAUCUGGAAGUCCUUGACAGAUGAGAAGAAUAUUGAAGCUGGCUAAGAAGGUCACAGCUGGAAGGCCUGAGCUGCUUUGCUGAGGGGUAGUGGGCCCUGCUGAACAAGGUACCCUAGUGAUGCUGGAGGGUUUGGAGGGCAGGAGUGCAUGUUCUCUAACAUCUGUUAAUGUA
rnacentral:lncRNA from 1 species